rnacentral:tRNA from 1 species
AAGGAUUUAAGUUAAAUAAACUUUUAACCUUCAAAGUUAACAAUAGAGUAACUCUAAGCCUUA